rnacentral:rRNA from 1 species
CCUACGGGAGGCAGCAGUGGGGAAUCUUGCGCAAUGGCCUAACGGCUGACGCAGCGACGCCGCGUGUGGGAUGAAGCUCUUCGGAGUGUAAACCACUGUUGCCCGGGACGAAUAGCUCGAUUAAUCGAGCCUGACGGUACCGGGUGAGGAAGCACCGGCUAACUCCGUGCCAGCAGCCGCGGUAAUACGGGGGGUGCGAGCGUUGUCCGGAAUCACUGGGCGUAAAGGGCGCGUAGGUGGUUUGAUAAGGGCGUGGUGAAAGUCCGGGGCUCAACCCCGGAUCUGCCGUGCCGACUGUCAAACUCGAGGACUGUAGAGGCAGACGGAAUUCCGGGUGUAGCGGUGGAAUGCGUAGAGAUCCGGAGGAAGACCGGUGGCGAAGGCGGUCUGCUGGGCAGUUUCUGACACUGAGGCGCGACAGCGUGGGGAGCAAACAGGAUUAGAUACCCUGGUAGUCCACGCCGUAAACGAUGGGUACUAGGUGCCUGGGGGAGCGACCCUCUGGGUGCCGGCGCUAACGCAGGAAGUACCCCGCCUGGGGAGUACGACCGCAAGGUUGAAACUCAAAGGAAUUGACGG